UACGUAGGGUGCGAGCGUUAAUCGGAAUUACUGGGCGUAAAGGGCGCGUAGGCGGGCUGGCAAGUCAGUCGUGAAAUCUCUCGGCUCAACCGAGAAACGUCGGCUGAUACUGCCGUUCUUGAGGGAUGCAGAGGAGACUGGAAUUCCCGGUGUAGCGGUGAAAUGUGUAGAGAUCGGGAGGAACACCGGUGGCGAAGGCGGGUCUCUGGGCAUCUCCUGACGCUGAGGCGCGAAAGCGUGGGGAGCAAACGGG
rnacentral:rRNA from 1 species